rnacentral:rRNA from 1 species
UGCAAGUCGAACGAGGUAGCAAUACCUAGUGGCGCACGGGUGAGUAACGCGUGGAUAAUCUGCCCUUCACUGGGGAAUAACUAAUCGAAAGGUUAGCUAAUACCGCAUGAGGCCACAGUUUCUGAGGAAGCAGUGGUUAAAGAUUUAUUGGUGAAGGAUGAGUCUGCGUGGGAUUAGCUAGUUGGUGAGGUAAUGGCUCACCAAGGCUACGAUCUCUAACAGGUCUGAGAGGAUGACCUGUCACACUGGAACUGAGACACGGUCCAGACUCCUACGGGAGGCAGCAGUAGGGAAUAUUGCGCAAUGGACGAAAGUCUGACGCAGCGACGCCGCGUGAGUGAUGAAGGCCUUAGGGUCGUAAAGCUCUGUUGCAGGGGAAGAAAAAAAUGACGGUACCCUGCGAGAAAGGAUCGGCUAACUUCGUGCCAGCAGCCGCGGUAAGACGAGGGAUCCUAGCGUUGUUCGGAAUCAUUGGGCGUAAAGCGCAUGUAGGCUGCCAUUCAAGUCAGUUGUGAAAGCCCCGGGCUCAACCCGGGAAGUGCUUCUGAUACUGUUUGGCUUGAGUACUAGAGAGGAUAGUAGAAUUCCAGGUGUAGUGGUGAAAUACGUAGAUAUCUGGAGGAAUACCG